UGCAAGUCGAACGGUAACAUAGAUUGCUUGCAAUCUGAUGACGAGUGGCGCACGGGUGCGUAACGCGUAUGCAAUCUACCUUUUACAGGAGAAUAGCCCAGAGAAAUUUGGAAUAAUGCUCCAUAAUAUCAUGUAUCAGCAUUGAUUUAUGAUUAAAGCUCCGGCGGUAAAAGAUGAGCAUGCGUUCUAUUAGCUAGUAGGUGAGGUAACGGCUCACCUAGGCUACGAUAGAUAGGGGCCCUGAGAGGGGGAUCCCCCACACUGGUACUGAGACACGGACCAGACUCCUACGGGAGGCAGCAGUGAGGAAUAUUGGACAAUGGAGGAAACUCUGAUCCAGCCAUGCCGCGUGCAGGAUGACUGCCCUAUGGGUUGUAAACUGCUUUUAUAUAGGAAGAAACACUCCCACGUGUGGGGGCUUGACGGUACUAUAUGAAUAAGGAUCGGCUAACUCCGUGCCAGCAGCCGCGGUAAUACGGAGGAUCCAAGCGUUAUCCGGAAUCAUUGGGUUUAAAGGGUCCGCAGGCGGCCUGUUAAGUCAGAGGUGAAAUCCUACAGCUCAACUGUAGAACUGCCUUUGAUACUGAUAGGCUUGAGUUAUUGUGAAGUGGUUAGAAUGUGUGGUGUAGCGGUGAAAUGCUUAGAUGUCGCACAGAAUACCCAUUGCGAAGGCAGAUCACUAACAAUAUACUGACGCCCAUGGACGAAAGCGUGG
rnacentral:rRNA from 1 species